UACGUAGGCAGCGAGCGUUGUUCGGAAUUACUGGGCGUAAAGAGGGUGUAGGCGGUGCUCUAAGUUCGGUGUGAAAUCUCCCGGCUUAACUGGGAGGGUGCGCCGGAAACUGGAGUGCUCGAACGUGGGAGAGGAAAGCGGAAUUCCUGGUGUAGCGGUGAAAUGCGUAGAUAUCAGGAGGAACACCUGCGGUGUAGACGGCUUUCUGGACCAUUGUUGACGCUGAGACACGAAAGCGUGGGGAGCAAACAGG
rnacentral:rRNA from 1 species